AUCAUGUAUUCAGAGUUUGAACCAAACUGUCCCUUUAUUUGUGAACAAAAGCAUUUCAGUGGGACUUUGCCUAUGGGACCCUGUGGCAGAGAGAAUCCUAUUUUAUUCUUGGCAUGAAACACACAAAAGAAGUCCUUAUUUGAUUCAGGUUCAAUAAACAAUAGUUGGGUUGCAGGAAGGCUCCUGGCUACCUGUGAGCUGUUACACCGGGCCCUGGCCUCACCAGCUGCCUGUGGAUGUAGGAAUAAACCCCGUCAGGUGAUUCGUACCUACUUAGCAGUAUAAAUCUGCAGAGGGGAGUGAAUGAGCAGCUUUGGUGAGUGCCUGGCAUCCAGCCAGCAUCAGCCCUCAGAGGAUUGCCUUCUGAUUUCCAUGCCGUAUAACCUUUGAACAUUAUUCUUCAAUUUUUUUGAGGAAAGAGGACAAAAUAAAAUAGGAUUUGGUCCUGUCACCACAGAGAAGUGAUCUCCAUCUGCUCUUCCUCUGCUCCUCGCAAGGAAGCUGUAACUGCAAUGAGUCUCAGUCUCCCCAUCUCCAGGAUGCAUAGACCAAGUGACCUCAGCUGCUCCUCAUAUAGCUUCCACUCAAGACCCUUCACCAUCUUCAUAACUCUCCUUUGGACUCUUUGUAAUAGUUUUAUAUAUUUUUUUAUAUUGUUGUACCCAGAACUGCCCCCAGCACUGGAGGUGAGGCUGCCCCAACUCAAAGCAGAGCAGAGCAGGACAAUCCCUUCCCUUGCCUGGCUGGUGAUUUUGUGCCUGAUGCCCCACAGGACACAGCUGCCCCUCCUGGCUGCCAGGGCACUGCUGACUCAGAUUCAACUUGCCAUCAACUAAGAAACCCAGGUCUCUUUCCAUGGCACUGCUCUUCAGCCUCUCUUUCCCAGUCUGUGUGUAUCUCCAGGGUUUCCCCAUCCCAGGUGCAGAAUCCAGCACUUUUCUUUAUUAAACUUCAAUAGAGUUGAAUAGAGUAAUUGCCAAACCCUCUGUUUUGCUGAGGUGUCUCUGCAGGGCCUCUCUGCCUUCAAAGGUGUCAAUAGCUCCUCUCAUUUUGGAUGAUCUAAAAACUUAUUUACCUUGGAGUCCUGCGUCCAAGUUGAAGUUGUUGAGGAGAACUGGGCCAAGCAUGGAGUCCCGGAGAGCCCCACUAGUGACCAGUCACCAGCCUGAUGUCACCCCAUUCACUAUAACCCCUUGUCCUGUGGCCACCUUUCCUUCUGAAAAUGUCUUUGUGCUCUCUGUACAACUCUCUGUGGAAGACUGACUAGAAGGCAGGAUAGCACCUUUACGUAAAGCAAAGCAACAAACAGCUGCUUUCACACUGUAUAAUUUAUAGAAGUGAAAGCAUAGUUGUAAUGAAUUAAUAUUUGUAUCUUUUAUCCUGUUUGAAGAAGUUCUGGUUUUUGCCUGAAAUAAAUUAUUUCUCUUAAAGGAAAGCUGAGGUACAAUUAAGGAACAUACAAGGAAAAAAACAUUCCAGCCGUGAAAUCACUUUGCUACUUUGACCCCAUUUGCAAAAUGCCUUUGUGUACUACUUCUGUAACCUUGCCACAAUAAAGAAAAUACCUACCCAACACACCUCUAUGGAGAUCUUUAGGCAGUUUAAGUUUUUAGUGAAAUUUUUGGGACAC